rnacentral:misc_RNA from 1 species
GAAAUGCGAUACCUAGUGUGAAUUGCAGCCAUCGUGAAUCAUCGAGUUCUUGAACGCACAUUGCGCCCGUCGGUAUUCCGGCGGGCAUGCCUGUCUGAGCGUCGUUUCCUUCUUGAAGCUUUUUUUUUAAAAGGUUCAGAAUUGGCCGUGCCACUGGCCCGGCCGAAAAGAAACGUUGCGGACGAAGCGAACUACAUCGGGACGCUUUGGCCGCCGAGCGAAAAUAUAUCAUUGAGCUCGACCUCAGAUCAGGUAGGAGUACCCGCUGAACUUAA